rnacentral:rRNA from 1 species
GAUGAACGCUGGCGGCGUGCCUAAUACAUGCAAGUCGAGCGAACGGACGAGAAGCUUGCUUCUCUGAUGUUAGCGGCGGACGGGUGAGUAACACGUGGAUAACCUACCUAUAAGACUGGGAUAACUUCGGGAAACCGUAGCUAAUACCGGAUAAUAUUUUGAACCGCAUGGUUCAAAAGUGAAAGACGGUCUUGCUGUCACUUAUAGAUGGAUCCGCGCUGCAUUAGCUAGUUGGUAAGGUAACGGCUUCCCAAGGCAACGUUGCUUAGCCGACCGGAGAGGGGGUUCGGCCCCCCUGGAGGUGGGACACGGUCCGGCCACCUCCGGGGGGCGGAGGGGGGGGAACUUCCGCAAGGGGGGAGAGCGUGUGGUGCCGAGCCGGCGGGGGUGAGAAGGGGCUCCGGUUGUUAAAACCCUUUUUUGCGGGAAAAACAGGUUGGUAAAUAAUGUGGGCGAGUUGACGGUAACUGAAUCGGAAGCCCCGGCUAACUACGUG